UACAGAGGUCUCAAGCGUUGUUCGGAUUCAUUGGGCGUAAAGGGUGGUGUAGGUGGCGCCGUAAGUCGGGUGUGAAAUUUCGGAGCUUAACUCCGAAACUGCAUUCGAUACUGCGGUGCUUGAGGACUGGAGAGGAGACUGGAAUUCAUGGUGUAGCAGUGAAAUGCGUAGAGAUCAUGAGGAAGACCAGUGGCGAAGGCGGGUCUCUGGACAGUUCCUGACACUGAGGCACGAAGGCCAGGGGAGCAAACGGG
rnacentral:rRNA from 1 species